GCCCAGGUGGCGAAAUUGGCAGACGCACUACCUUGAGGUGGUAGAGCCUUCACCGGCAUGCAGGUUCAAGUCCUGUCCUGGGCAC
rnacentral:tRNA from 1 species